rnacentral:rRNA from 1 species
CUGUGAAGGAAAGGUGAAAAGGACCCCGAGAAGGGGAGUGAAAAGACCCUGAAACCAUGCGCUUACAAGCGGUUGGAGCGAGGACAUGAUCCUUGUGACAGCGUGCCUUUUGCAUAAUGAGCCUACGAGUUACUCCUUACUAGCGAGUUUAAUUCCGAAGGAAGGAAGGAGGCGCAGCGAAAGCGAGUCUGAAUAGGGCGAGAUAGCUAGUAGGGGUAGACGCGAAACCAGGUGAUCUACCCAUGGCCAGGUUGAAGGUGGGAUAGUCUCCCACUGGAGGACCGAACCGGUAAACGUUGAAAAGUUUUCGGAUGAGCUGUGGGUAGGGGUGAAAGGCUAAUCAAACCUGGAGAUAGCUCGUACUCCCCGAAAUGCAUUUAGGUGCAGCGUUGGGCAAUCUGUUGUGGAGGUAGAGCUACCAAUAGGGCUAGGGGGCUUCACCGCCUACCAACCCCUGAUGAACUCCGAAUGCCACAAUGGAGUACCAGCAGUGAGGCGUGGGGUGCUAAGGUCACACGCCGAGAGGGGAACAACCCAGACCAACAACUAAGGGCCCUAAGUCAGUGUUAAGUUGGAUAAACGAUGUGAGGAUGCUAAGACAGCUAGGAUGUUUGCUUGGAAGCAGCAAUUCAUUUAAAGAGUGCGUAACAGCUCACUAGUCGAGCGUUCUUGCGCGGAAAAUAAUCGGGCAUCAAGCCCGCCACCGAAGCCAUGGGUCAGCAAUGACGGUAGGGGAGCAUUACGGCAGCGCCGAAGGUGUGGCGUGAGCCAUGCUGGAGCGGCCGUAAAAGCAGAUGUAGGCAUGAGUAACGAUAAUGGGGGUGGAAAACCCGCACGCCGCAAGACUAAGGUUUCCUCGUUCAACGGUAAUCAGAACAGGGUGAGUCGGGACCUAAGGAUAAGCCGAAGGGCGACGCCGAUGGCAAGCCGGUCAAGAUUCCGGCACCCGUAGUGGCUGCGAUGGGGUGACGAAGGGACGUAAGGGCUGCGAACUGACGGAAUAGUUCGUUGAAGCGCGUAGGCUGUGAGCGGGGCAGGCAAAUCCGCCCCUUGAGCUGAAACGCGAAAGUACACGGAAGCCCUCGGGCCGAAGUGAUAAUGCCCCCAUGUUGACUUCCGGGAAAAGCCCCUAAGCUUCAGGCCGCUACGGCCCGUACCGCAAACCGACACAGGUAGUCGAGGAGAGUAUCCUCAGGCGCUCGAGUGAGUCACGGCUAAGGAACUCGGCAAAAUGGACCCGUAACUUCGGGAGAAGGGUCGCCCCAGCAAUGGGGCCGCAGAGAAAUGUUUCAGGCGACUGUUUAACAAAAACACAGGGCUCUGCGAAAUCGUAAGAUGAAGUAUAGGGCCUGACACCUGCCCGGUGCUGGAAGGUUAAGAGGAGAUGUUAUUCGCAAGAAGAAGCAUUGAAUUGAAGCCCCAGUAAACGGCGGCCGUAACUAUAACGGUCCUAAGGUAGCGAAAUUCCUUGUCGGGU